UGGGGGUAUGGGGGAGCAAAUAAGAACCUUAAACCCUUCCUUUGAUUUCAAUUUGCCAUAACUUUCGAUCCGGAGUUUCGAUUGUCGCACCGUUUGCAACCACGCGUUCGUAGUGACGAGCUCUAUCAAACUCAGUACCUUUCAGGAAUCAAACGGACUUGAGAAAUUGGUAGGUUUUGGCUUAAUUGAAUCACAUAUACGGUGUAUAUAUGUAUAUGUUGGAGCUUGAAUUGUGAGUUUUGGAAUUCGAUGGAGUUUGGGUGACGUGCAUUAGUGAUUUUGGACCUUCUGGACUGUGUUUGGUGCUUUGGUGGCAUGUCUUGGGUUAUUCGGAAAAUCGGCCAAGGUAUUGUUUAGGUUUCCCAUAUUUAAUAUAUAAUGUUCUGUGAAAACUUAGGUUAGAGAAUCAUAGGAUAAGAUGGAAUGAUUAUGUAUGUUGAAUGUUUAGUAAUUAUGAUAUCGAUUGAUGAUGGGGAUUAAACAUGUGUUGGUGAUUAUGGUUAUGGUGGGGAUAUAAUGCCUCCUUGGUGUUUUAAUAUUGUUGAUAAAUUGGUGAUAUUGAUUAUAUGUAUGUAUGAUAACAUGUUGGUGAUUUUAUUGUUGGAAAUAAGAAGUUCAAGGUGUGAAUUGGGUAAACAUAGAAGUAUAAUGGUUUGUGAUAUGAUAAGUGGUUAGUGGUGUUGUAUAGGAUUGCUAUGAAGUGUGUUUGUACUGGAUAUAUAUAUAAGUUAUGGGGAUUGAAUGUAGUCAUAAUAAAAUUGAGGUUUGAGCUUGGAAAAAUUAGUUUUUGACCGAAUUUUGGUGAGCCAAAACUUGGCUUCCGGACCUCCAAAUAAUUUCAAACUUAUUUUGUAUAAAAAUUGGGUCCGUGAAAUUUACACCGUUCGAAAAAUGGAUGAAAAAUAUUUUAAAACGAAAAAGUUAUGCGCGUCGAAAGUUUGAGGUUUUAAAUUGAAAUUCUACAGAUUUCAGACUUAGCCAAAUUUUUGGCCAAAUGUCCUUUCAUGCGUACGCAUACAGGGGACAUACUGAUAAACCCCAAUUUUGUGAUUUAU